UGUAUAUUUUAGAACAACUUCUCUAAGUGUGACUUUUUGGAAUUUGGCACAAUAACUUUUGUUCCAUAUGAACCUCAUUUAAUCAAGUCCAGCUUACUAAGUGACCAACAGAUCAAAUGGAUUAACAACUACCAUGAAGAGGUUUGGGAGAAGGUGUCACCAUAUCUAAAAGAAGAAAACGACACAGUUGGUUUGGAAUGGUUACAUAAACGAGUUCAGCCUUUAUUUACUACACACAAAGUUACAGAAUUAGAAAAUACUAAUAAUGGAUGUAUUUUGAUGACAUGGAUGAUGUGUUAUUUGAUUUUGUUUUUUAUCUCUAUACUUCUGAAGUAAACACUAUAAACUUCUAGUUUGUCAAAAUGUUUACUGUGUUAUUAAAAAUGUGUGCAUCAAAU